GACGAACGCUGGCGGCGUGCCUAACACAUGCAAGUCGAACGGAAAGGCCCUGCUUUUGUGGGGUGCUCGAGUGGCGAACGGGUGAGUAACACGUGAGUAACCUGUCCCUGUCUUUGUGGUAACUUCUGGAGAAUCGGUAUAAUACCCGGUAGGAGCUUCUGCAGCAUGGGGGGGGUUGGAAAAUUUCGGCGGUUCGGGAUGGUCUCGAGGCUUAUCCGCUUGAUUGGCGGGUAGUGGCUUACGAAGGCUUUGAAGGGUAGCCGGCCUGAGAGGGUGACCGGCCACCUUGGGACUGAGAUACGGACCAGACUCGUACGGGAGGCAGCAGUCGGGAAUAUUGCGCAAUGGCGCGAAGCCAGAUGCAGCAGCGCCGCGUGCGGGAUGCCGUCCUUCGGGUUGUGAACCGCUUUCGCCUGUGAUGAAGCGUGAGUGACGGUAAUGAGUAAAGAAGCAACGGCUAACUACGUG
rnacentral:rRNA from 1 species